rnacentral:rRNA from 1 species
GACGAACGCUGGCGGCGUGCUUAACACAUGCAAGUCGAACGGAAAGGCCCUGCUUUUAUGGGGUGCUCGAGUGGCGAACGGGUGAGUAACACGUGAGUAACCUGCCCUUGACUUUGGGAUAACUUCAGGAAGCUGGGGCUAAUACCGGAUAGGAGCUCCUGCUGCAUGGUGGGGGUUGGAAAGUUUCGGCGGUUGGGGAUGGACUCGCGGCUUAUCAGCUUGUUGGUGGGGUAGUGGCUUACCAAGGCUUUGACGGGUAGCCGGCCUGAGAGGGUGACCGGCCACAUUGGGACUGAGAUACGGCCCAGACUCCUACGGGAGGCAGCAGUGGGGAAUAUUGCACAAUGGGCGGAAGCCUGAUGCAGCAACGCCGCGUGCGGGAUGACGGCCUUCGGGUUGUAAACCGCUUUCGCCUGUGACGAAGCGUGAGUGACGGUAAUGGGUAAAGAAGCACCGGCUAACUACGUG